GCCUUCGUGGUGUGGUGGUCUGCACGCAGGGCUCAUACUCCAGAGGUCCAAGGUUCGAUUCCUGGCGAAGGCG